AGCUUUGCGCAGUGGCGAUACCAUAGCCAGUGAGGUUUAUCCGAGGCGUGGUUAUUGCUAGUUGAAAACUAUUCCCAAUACCCCGAACUGACGCCUUUAAUUGGGCGGAACGUUCAAUUUUUGAUAGCCCCUACGGGGG
rnacentral:snRNA from 1 species